rnacentral:misc_RNA from 1 species
GAUGAAGAACGUAGCGAAAUGCGAUACUUGGUGUGAAUUGCAGAAUCCCGUGAACCAUCGAGUCUUUGAACGCAAGUUGCGCCUCAAGCCAUUAGGUUGAGGGCACGUCUGCCUGGGCGUCACAUAUCGUUGCCUGAUGCCAGUUUCCUCGUGAUGGGUGACUGUGCAGGGCGAAUGAUGGCUUCCCGUGAGCAUUGUUGCCUCAUGGUUGGUUGAAAAUUGAGUCCUUGGUAGGGAGCGCCGUGAUAGAUGGUGGUUGAGUGACGAACGAGACCCAAUCAUGUGAGACCCCUACCGAAUUUGGCCUUCAUGACUCACAUGCGUCUUUGGAACGCUCAUGACGAGACCUCAGGUCAGGCGGGGCUACCCGCUGAGUUUAAGCAUAUCAAUAAGCGGAGGA